rnacentral:rRNA from 1 species
UCGCCUGUUUUUUCCAAAAACAUCGCCUCUUGAUUAAACAUAAGAGGUCCAGCCUGCCCAGUGACAUAGUUUAACGGCCGCGGUACCCUAACCGUGCGAAGGUAGCAUAAUCACUUGUUCUUUAAAUAGGGACUCGUAUCAACGGCAUCACGAGGGCUAUACUGUCUCCUUUCUCCAAUCAAUGAAACUGAUCUCCCCGUGAAGAAGCGGGGAUUAACCUAUAAGACGAGAAGACCCCAUGGAGCUUCAAACUCAACAUAUACCUCUACGCACUUAAACCACUUUAGCCCAAGAGACCUCUAUGUUAGUUUUGGGUUGGGGGGACCGCGGAGUAAAAAUUAACCUCCACGACAAACGGGCUUUAUGCCCUUAUCCACGAACCACAGCUCUAAGAAUCAAUAAACUGAUGUUUAUGACCCGAUUAUUCGAUCAACGAACCAAGUUACCCUGGGGAUAACAGCGCAAUCUACUUCAAGAGCCCCUAUCGACAAGUAGGUUUACGACCUCGAUGUUGGAUCAGGGUAUCCUAGUGGUGCAGCCGCUACUAAUGGUUCGUUUGUUCAACGAUUAAAACCCUACGUGAUCUGAGUUCCAGACCGGA